GUCUCAGUUUGCUCUUUGAGAAGUUGGCCUAAGAUCCCUUUCUACCUGACAGAGUAGGCCUAUGAGCUGUGGGGUUUGGAUGCCCUCAGGCCUUGGUGCUGUGAUGUGUGUGCAUUUACACAAGGUGGCAGGGCAUCCAGCUGCAGCAUGCCAAGUGCUCCAAGUGCUCCAUUUAGAAUUCAGGGUCUCAGCACUGGAGCUCCCACUGCAUUUCCUACCUGUGGCAUCGGGUAGGUAUCCAAAGUCCUUCCCCAACAGUCCUUCUCCACAGCUUUUAAAGUUCUGAGAAGAGAACGGAAGUCAGCAGGACAGUCAGAAAUGCCAGCAGAGACCUGAGCUUAAGAGCCCAGUCCUGUGGGAGGAGCUUCCAUGUGCCAGGUGUGCCUGGAAGAACAGAGUGUGCUAUAUACCAGGGUCCCAAGACCAUUGUAGGAUACAAAACAAAAGAAAGCAAUCCUCCCACAAACAAAAAACCGCACACACACAAACAUACAAGGAUUCAGUGUGGAACAGAAGUCAUGAUGAUGAUUUACUUUGCAAAGGUAACCCAAGAAUGUCCCAAAAGUGGAAAGGCAGGUGGUGCAAAGUUAGGGGUACCAGGUGCAAGAAUCACUCGGGGUACACCCAGCUCUUCAAGGACUGAAGGUGCCUUUUCCUAGCCAACCCGCCUAAGUUUCUCAAGUGGAAGGUUAUGGUUCAAAAUGAGCCCCUGGUUUACUAGGCACCCUGGUCUACAGUGGCUGCCGCAGGAGCACAGCUCACUAUGUAACAGCUCAUGAUACACAGCUACCAGUAGUGUGCAAAGAGAGAAUGUUUACCCUUGUAGGUCCUGAUUGUCACAAGGUCCCCUACUGGUGACCAGAGUACAUCAGCUAUCAACUUUCAGCUUUCCUGGGCCACUGUAGUCAUUGCUGUUGUGUGGGCACAUGGGCUAGGGCCCGAGAAAGGGAUAAGGUUGUGGGUAGAUAGGACUUGCACUCCUCCUGCACAGGAAGGACCUUUAAGCCAAACAGUGGGGUUAUUCCAGUGGUCCAGGAAAAUGACCUGAGCUUCACACUCUCAAAAUGUCAACAAAUUGACCUGUGCAUUUUACAUAAUCCUUAUACAAGGCAUUUUUAUUUUUAAAUGUUACUGGCUUGGCUGAGAUUUCCUGUUUCCAGCUGACAACAUUAAGUCUCUUAUAGUCCUGGGGUUUAAUGGACUGAUAAUAGGGUUCACACAUGAAUCUUGCUUGUGCAUGCAAUGUCUCUUCCUUAACUUGACCCAGAUUGUGAUCAUGUUCUCCUUUUGAGGAAAUUCAACACAGGUCAUUAUCGAGAAGCCCCCUGCUUACUUGGAGUCUCUAAGGACUAGGCAGCUCCUGUGAUGUGGCGGCAGUGAGGACGUCCCUCUCCCUUCCAGUGACUGAAACUGGCUUUGGCCUGAUCUUGUCACUAUAGAUCCACCUCAGAGAUUCUGCCCCCGGAACAAAAUGCCACUCUUCCCAUUCAGCAGCCCCUAUUCCCAUCAGCACAGAGAUCAACAGUUCAUUGGUAUUUCAACUCCGCACUGCAGGGAGAAGCCAGGUUUCUGAGACAGUGGAUCCUCCCUUCUGACCACCCACUCACUUACCCUUCCUGGGAAAAUUUCUUCUUCACUCAGGUGGAGGGAGAAUCCAUCAGUCAGCAAGGUUCAAAAACUGCACAGGCUGCCUGAGGGUGUCCAGAUGGAAUUAAACCCGCUGUAGACUAAAUGAAGCAGAGUCUGGGAAUGUUUCUGAGAAGCGGUCUUGGCCAAGGAACGAACUCUGUUUAGUCUACCCUCGCUCCUGGAGAUAUUUUAAAAAGUGAGGUGGGAGCUUGCAGUAUGAGAGGCUCUGAAAGUCCUCGUGUCAUCUCUGUGCUGAUGGCAGUAGGUGUGUGUGGGAGGGCCCUGCAGGGAGAGGGACCUUCCGCUCAGGGUUGGGUGGGAUGCCUGCUCUUGGCAUCAAGGGGAAAAAUGGGGCCGAACCGUGACCCUAUCAUCAAUAACCAGGGCCCCUUUAAGCAUGGGUUGGGAUGAAGCAGUUUCUCCCGUGUUGCCACCUGGCCACAGACUACUCUACGUCACUCCAUGUUGUGUAAAACUUGGAUUUUAAGGCUGUGCCUUGCCCUGAGAGACUCCAUCUUACACAUAGCGUUCGACUCCAUUUUGAAUCUAAAUAACUAGGGCAUCUGCACCUUGAUGACCAUGCAAACAACACUGUCUGCCUGACACCACCUCAAGGCACAGACAGGUUAAAUAACCUGUUAUGAAAGUAAAAAAGGUGCUACUUCAUACAUUUGUCAAAGUAAAUUGACAAUCAUGCCAGAAAAGACAGGUCCAAGAAGUUACCAGACACAUCAGACCGAGGAACAGCAUGCUCACCUGGACCCAUAAAGAAGAGGACACGGUGCAUGACAAUGGCCUUACCUACCUGUCACCUGACCAUCACCACACACUGGUGUGUGUGUGUGUGUGUGUGUGUGUGUGUGUGUGUGUGUGUGUGUGUAGGAAACAACAGGCAGAGAACUUUCAACUGUCCCAGGGACUUCAGUUCAUCUUUGUAUUGCUGUUGAUGCUGGCAGUCCUGUUCUGUAGCUUGAACAACCCUUAGGCUUGGCUCAAUUCUGGCCAAGCAGCCUGAAUCUAUAAUUGGUCUUGGAGGAGUGUUAGUGUAUAUAGGGAGUGGAAGAUUCACUGAAGGUGAGAUCAGAUGAAGUCCCCGUGGGCACAUUAAAAUCAGAACAGAUUCUGGAGAGAUGGCUCAGUGGUUAAGAGCAACCAUUGCUCUUGUGAGGACUGGGGUUCAGUUCCCAGCACCCACAUGAUGGCUCACAACUAUCCAUAACUCCAGGUCUAGGGGUUCUGAUGCCCUCUUCUGGCCUCUGUGAGCGAUGCACAUGUACAUAGACACACAUGCAGGCAAAACACUUGUAUUCUUAAAUAUUAUUUUUAAAAAGAAAGAAUCCCAACAUAACUAACAACUCUUGCUGAAUCCCUUUCUUCUUUGCCAAUUAUAAAUUUUCUAGGUCUUUCACCUCUCUUGCCAUAAAUGGAAGUCUUCUAACUCCUUUGGGCAACCUUAUUUUUAUCUCAGGUUACAAUCUCACCCAAGGUUUGCUUAUAUUGUCACUUGGAGAGAUUCAUCCGCAGAACAAUUACAAGACUUAAUGCCUGUUGUUAAAAACCAUACUGCUCUGGAUGUGAUCAAGGACAGAACAGCUUCAGUAGAUAGAACAAAAAAUUUAAGAGAGACCAUAAAACAUGUAUUUUGGCAAAUUGCUAUGAAUGAUCAGAGACCAAAACUAAAAAUACAAAUAAAUGGCAUUGAAAUUAUAGGUUUAUUAAGACACAGGCACAGAUGUAAUAAUAAUUUCACCCAAAUCUUGGCAUCCAGAUUGGCCUCUUCAGGAGGUAAAUAUUCAAGUUCUAGGUAUUGGAACUUUAUCUCAGGUAAAACAAAGUACAAGAUGGGUUGAGCGUAUAGGGCCAGGACAGAUAGGAAAAUUAAAUCCAUAUAUGGAUGACAUACCAAUUUAUGGGGAGGAGAUGCCAUGCUGCCCAAGGAGUAACAUGCCAGAUUAUGGGUAAGCCACAGCCUCGUGGCGAUACACAGAUUAAUAGAAAUGGGUUAACAAUUAAGACAGCUAUCCAAUAAGAAGCCUAAGCCAUAAGCCAACAGUUUAAUAAUUAAUAUGUCUCUGAGUGCUUAUUUGGGACUGAAGGGUGGUGGGACCUGGCAGGACAGAAAC
rnacentral:lncRNA from 1 species